GCUGAUUGCGGAGCACCGACUACGGGACAUCCCACACCGGGAGCCACACUCCCACGGUGUCCCCGGAGCUUCCGCUUGGCUCGCCGGGAUGGGAGCGGAACUUGGUGUGGGAUGGGGACUGGAAAGGGGGGACUGGACAGGCUCGCCUCUGUCCCGGGACGGGCUCUUCGCUGUUUCUGGACCAGGAUCGAACCAGGAUGGGCUCCCGGGAACUGUUCCCCGCCGGACCACACCGGGCAGGGUCGUCGUGGUGCGCCUUCCCCGGUUCCUUUCCAGAACGGGAUCUCUGCCAUCCCUCUGUCCCCGUAUCGACCCGGGACAGGAUCUCUGCCAUCCCUUUGCUCCGAUCUGAAACGGGAUCCCUGCCAUCCUUCUGUCCUGGUACCGGAUUUGACGGGGUCCCCGCCGUCCAUCUGUCCUGCUCCCCCAGCUCUCUCCGUAGCUGCCUCCGGUGGCAACUACCUCGGGUGUUCCGAGAGUCCCGCGAUCAGCUCCAUCCCGCCUGCACGGCUUUCCCAGGGAACCCCCAAUCCACGGGUUAAAAGGAUAGCUGGAGUUUACAUGCAGAGCUGGGAGAGCCGGGCAGUGGUCUCCAUCCCGGGAGUGCCGGGGGAAUUUGUAGCCGCGGGGCCUAGGACAACCCCGAGGGAAUGUUCACCCAAACGUGAUCCCAAAGUUCGUGUUUCCCGGUGUCACUCGUUCCCAACUCAUCCAAGAGAGAGGAAACAACCACGGGCCAUCCAAAGCAUUAUUGUCCCUGAGGGGAAACUGAGGCACGGAGACGGGCUGGGAUCCCUGGCGGCAGAAUCCCGCUGCGUUCCUCAACUGUGAUUUGGAGCUCAUCAUGCAACGGGUUUCCACCGGAUCACGAAACCACUGGUGGACGCGGGGGGGCUUUCCUGGGGCCGGCAGCAUGACAGAGACAGGAGUGUGCCGGGCUUUCAUUGGAGCAUUGCCCUGUUGUGUCUUUCUUGCAUCCUGUGAGAAAACAAACAAAUCCCUGGCAGGAAUGACCCCAGCGGGGCGCGGCCGUGAGUUCACCCUCACCCAUCGGAAAUCCAGUUUUCACAUUUUUUGGGAGAGGAGUAAAGUUUCCGUGGCUGGGGGCAAGUCCCCGUGGCGCUGUUUUGGCUA